GGCUGGGCUCUGGGGCCGCGGGCGGCUCCCUCCCCCAUUGGGGGACCCCUGGGGCGCCGGGGGCCUCCGCCCACCCAGACCCCUGUAACUCUGUGCGUCUCUUGGUUUGCAGAGAUCCCUCUGUAUUUUGUGGACUUGCAGGAUGACUUAGACGACUGAUCUUGUGAAGUCCGUCGCCUGGGCUGGCCUGGAACUCGGGAUUCUCUUGCCCUAUCCUCCCAAGAAGCGGUGAUUACAGACGUGUCCCACUGUGCCUGGCCUGUUAUAUCCAUUUGAAGCUGAGGAAACUGAGAAUCAGAGACGUGAGAUCCUUAUCCACGGUCACGAACCUAAUGAGAGAAGAGCUGAGGGGCAGCGUCAGGAAUCAUGACUCAAGUUCUGUGACUUCUGCAGAUUGUACAGUCAUUCCUCUAACAUCUUUUUCUGUUAGGAGUAUGGUUCUUCCGUUUAACCUCUUUUUGUGGAACACCUACAACUGGACGUAACCUGCACUGGGUGCUGGAGUUGUGAUGCCUGCAUGGGACUCUCAGGGCCACGGGGACAGAUGUGCCAUCCUGACGACAGAUGGAUUUGAAGACUGUGGUUCAGAGUGUGACAGCACGAGACUAACCGCCUUCUUGGACAUCCCAGGCCAGGAUGAGCUGCCCCCCUUGCGCGCCUGGAAAAGUAUGCUUUCAGGGAUAACAUCUUCAGCUGGUUAGAAAAUUUAGUCAGGAAGUACUUUUGAUCCUUCUGGAACAGCAGCUGAUUUUCCAGAAUGAUACUGAACACAGAGUGUGUCCGAUCCUGCUGGAGCUGUCUGGCCCGGAGAGGGAUGAUGAGUGCAGAACGGAAGCCGAGGAAGACCGUGGAAGACAGUAUUCUCAGUGUGUCAAGGCGGAAGGCACAGGACUUUUUUUGGUAACGUUAAUUGUGAUCACUUGAUAAAGGUGACAUCUGCCACGUUCUCCAGUAGGCUUGUUUGUUCCAUCUGAAAGUGCUGAGGAAAGGCACUUGGAACUGUGUGAGUGUGCUUCUCCGCAUUAACCCUUCCCCCUAAGCGACGGUGCCUGCUGAAGGUCCGAGCUGGCGUUGUCCUGGGAAGAACGCUCGGUCCCGUUUCCACUGUUUGCCUGCACUUUGGAGGAUUUUCAAGCCUACAUUCAGGAGGACUGUGGUGUGUGCUACAAAGUUUGGUGAUGUUUGUCACGCUGUUGGACAGGAAGCUACAGAGAAGAUUUUGAUUCUUUGAGCUCUGCUCAGAUAACGAUGGGGUGUGCGGGAAGCCUGUGCGCAGUGCUUCGUGGCUGUGUCCUACAACACCUCUCCUGAGGUCGGUGGAAGCCAGCUCUCGCCUCUCUUCAUCAGGCUCCUCCGCGACCCCUGUCAAAGGCUCAAGUUCAGGUUUUUAUCUGCUGCACUGAGAGCUGCACAGCUGGACUCCGCAAAUGAACCUGAGAGCAAGCUGUCAGAAGGUCUAAAUGAAGUAUCCAUUUCAGAGCCCAGCUCUGCCUCCAACAAUCAGAUCCCUCCGUCAGCUUCAUCAUCUCGGAAUGAGCUCUCUGUGGCCAGGAUAUUACAAAGCACAGAUCCAUCAUAAAUGUCCUGCCUCACUACAGGCUCCAGAUCAACCAUGCCAACCAACCAUGGACUAACACUGCUGAAGUCACGAGCCAAAAUAAACCUAUAAACCUUUCCUCCUUAAAAGCUAUCUCAGGUGUUUUGUCACAGAGACAGAAAGUCACCCAGUGACCUUGUCUGGAAAAGGGUCUUUGCUGAUGUGAUUAAAUGAAGGAUUCUGAGGUCAUCCAAGUUGAGCUGGGUGGGUUAUGUCCUGAUGAGAGAGAAAACACGGAGAAAAUGCUGAAAGAGAAUGCUGCGGACAUCACAGGUUUGUUGGAGGGCGGAGUUUGAAAAUCCAGCAGUGCUUGCUUUUCAUCCUGCGGCUCCGAGCCAGCUCCUUGCAAGCCCAGGGCAUGGAAGCUGACUAGUAUCUUUCUUGAGUCUCUCAGAAGCCUUUAACCUCUUGUGGCUGAGGACUCCUAAUUCUUGCUAAGCUUGUACUUAGGCUGCUUUGAGCUGGGGCCUUCCACAUGUAGGGUUAAGAGUGGAGAAUUCAAACUAGAGAGUUCUUACUGUGGACCACGGCAGACAGGCUCUUCAAACUCAUGUCUUCUAGAUGAGGCUAGAACACUAAUUCUCUGUUCAUGUAGUUAUUAAUUUAGCUUUGGUGAUUAAACCAACUUGUCACCUUUUUUUUCCUUAGAAACCUACUCUAGUAAAGCAAAACAGGGCAAAAACUAUAAAAAGUCAAGUAUAAAAUACUUAUUGUUGAUUAUAAGAUACGAGAUGAUACCUUGUUUUGCUGGUUUGUUUCUAAAAAUCUUGCAAGGAAAGGCGUGUUCCUCACUGCAGCGGUCUGUGUGAAGGACAGAGCUGUAGCUAUGCUGACUUUGAGGCUGUAGUGGUAUUUGGAUAUUUAUUAGGGACAAAAGAGAAAGCAGAAGAGACAGACAGAGACAGAGAGGGACAGGAAGGAAGGGAAGGAGGGAGGGAAAGGCAGAAAAACAGGGAAAGACGCGCAGAGUCUACUGAACGAGGGCCUUGGGUUACGGACUGGAGAGCCCUCGUCCCACCAGGCCUGCCUUUGCAGCACGGGUUAGUGCUCUCGCAUUUGCAGCUGGGUUCUUCAGUUCUAGUGGGACCAAGCCGGAGGCCUCCAGCUGCAGAAGAAGGAAGAGGCAGCAGAAACUCGAGCGCUUGGACAGUGAGGGAAGAGGGCUCCCUGUGCAGGCUGCUGGGAAGAGGUCGUGCCGUGGACGGAGGCCCAGCGCUGGGGCGUCGGCCUCCUUACCGACUGCCGUCCGCAGUGCCUGUGUCUGCACCAAGUGCUCGGUGGACGAGGGGUCUACCUCUCCACGGGGCUCUUUAGAAAAGCAUAGAGACCCGUGUCUGCGCCCUCUUCCAGGCCCCUCUCGCUGGCUACAGCCGCAUCAUGGAUUGUGGGUUUGGCGUGGUGGAAUGGGUAAAAAACACAUAAAUCUCCUGAAGACUUGGAUUCUUUUAGAAAAGGGGCUGCAGGGCGGUGAGCAGCUGGUGCAUCGGAGCCGUUGCGAGUGUGCUGCCCGCUGCGCUCAGGCCGGGAGGGGAGUUCUUGGGCUCGGCCUGCGGUCUUUGCUUCCAUCUUGACUUGGCGGCUGAAGCAAGCAUGCAUGUAACACUUGCACUGAAUACUUUGGAGUAAAAUUAAUACCUAAAAUGAUGAUAGUGACUCCAACCACACAUCUUAGUAUACGUGAAUGUAUUAACUUGGAGAAACCGAGGUUGCCGUACCCAAGAGAAACCUUAGGUUGUCACUCCAAAAUAUUGCUGUUUUAGCAUGUAUUCCGUUAAAAUAAACAGUACCUUUCCGUGAAAACCUUGGGAACUGAAGGUUCUGGUAGCAUGCCUCAGCGUAAACGAAGCAUCUAUCAGUGUAUUAAUCGACUUCCCGGAUCAUGUAUUGAGCUGGUUUGUCAGAAUCUGUUCGGCUGGUAGACAGUAUGACAUUUCAAGUGCAAGUUGGAAAUCCGUGUUAUGGUUGAAGGAGAAGGUCAGGUUCAUCUCAGUUAAUGCUGAUCAAUGAUCAGAGACCAAUAUGUCACUGCUCAAUGUUCUCGCUCUUUUUAAUUGUUAAACCUGAUGUAAAGGUUCAUUACCGAACGUUAGGAGUGCUUGUUUGUACAUGUGAAAACUGAGAAGAGUUGGUUAGGUAAAUGCUCCUUUAUCAGCCACAUCUCUUCAUUCAGAGUCACCACCCCACCCCGUCGGGUCCCCUCAGUUUUCUCGCCGUGGACACGCGGUGUCUGACUCCUGAGAAAGGCUGCUCCGCCAUUUCUUGCAAACCUUAU